AUGGCAACACCGUUUGUUGCUCUCGCUCAACCAAUCAAUGCUUUAGCUUUUGUUUUUGACGGUGUCAAUUAUGGAGCAUCGGAUUUUGCAUAUGCUGCUUAUUCGUUGGCAAGUCCGCUAAUUUUCCAGCUUAUUUGUGCUCUGGCUUUCCAGCUUUCUCUUCUGACACAUUCCAUUGAAUUAGAGAAAAGUAUUCUUUUCAUCUCUCAAUUUUUGGCGAAGUCUAGAUUUAAUCCUUCAACUAUGAAACCGGACAACUUGCAUCUCAAACUCUUAAUACCGGACAAAUUUCGUCCCUUGUAG
rnacentral:rRNA from 1 species